UGAGAUAUGGUGUAAUGGUAGCACUACAGAUUUUGGUUCUGUCUGUCAAGGUUCGAAUCCUUGUAUCUCAA
rnacentral:tRNA from 2 species